rnacentral:ncRNA from 1 species
UUCCUAGGGGAGCCUUUUGGCUGAGAAUCUGCAUUAUUGCAGUAACCCUUCGAACCUGAUCCGGGUAAUGCCGGCGAAGGGAAGGAAAGCA